CGCAGCAGGCCGCCGCCAUGGGCAAAGGAGACCCCAACAAGUCGCGGGGCAAGAUGUCGUCGUACGCCUUCUUCAUGCAGACGUGCCGCGAGGAGCACAAGAAGAAGCACCCAGACUCCUCCGUCAACUUCGCCGAGCUCUCCAAGAAGUGCUCGGAGAGAUGGAAGACCAUGUCUGCAAAGGAAAAGUCCAAGUUCGAAGAUAUGGCAAAAAAUGACAAAGCCCGCUACGACAGGGAGAUGAAAAACUAUGUUCCUCCCAAGGGCGAUAAGAAGGGGAAGAAGAAAGACCCCAACGCUCCGAAAAGGCCUCCAUCUGCCUUCUUCCUGUUUUGCUCUGAACAUCGCCCAAAGAUCAAAAGUGAACAUCCAGGCCUCUCCAUUGGGGAUACGGCAAAGAAGUUGGGGGAAAUGUGGUCUGAACAGUCAGCCAAAGAUAAACAACCAUAUGAGCAGAAAGCAGCUAAACUAAAAGAGAAAUACGAAAAGGAUAUUGCUGCAUACCGUGCCAAGGGCAAAAGUGAAGCAGGAAAGAAGGGCCCUGGCAGGCCAACAGGCUCAAAGAAGAAGAAUGAACCAGAAGAUGAGGAAGAGGAGGAAGAAGAGGAAGAGGAUGAGGAUGAGGAGGAAGAAGAUGAAGAUGAAGAAUAAAUGGCUGUCAUAUAAUGUGUGUGGAAUGUGCGUGUGUGCUCAGGCAAUUGUUUUGCUAAGAAUGUGAAUCCAAGUGCAGCUCAACAUUAGCUUCAAUAUAAAAACUGUACAGAUU